rnacentral:tRNA from 1 species
AUUUAAAUAGUUUAAUAAAAAUUUUGAUUUGUGAUAUCAAAGAUAUGAUUAUUUCAUUUUAGAUA